rnacentral:rRNA from 1 species
CGCGUAGGUGGCUGUUUAAGUCAGAUGUGAAAGUCCACGGCUCAACCGUGGAAGUGCAUUUGAAACUGGAUAGCUUGAGUACUGGAGGGGGUAGUGGAAUUCCCGGUGUAGAGGUGAAAUUCGUAGAUAUCGGGAGGAAUACCGGUGGCGAAGGCGACUACCUGGCCAGAUACUGACACUGAGGUGCGAAAGCGUGGGGAGCAAACA